AGCAAACUGUCUGGUCGUGCGGUAGGCGCGGUAAGGUUUGUCUCUAUGGUCGAGGAUUCAUAUCCUGCCCGCUGCCAACGCCCGUUGUCCUGAGAAAGGUUUGGACUAGGACACCAGAGUGUUGGCUAUUAUUACUGCUGAAUAUAGCUGCUGUGUUACUGCUGUUUUAACGGCUAUUACUCUGCUGAAAUACAUGCUGCUGAAUAUUACCGCUAAAAAAGAACAGACUACGUUGGGCAGGUCACCUUGAAAGAAUGUCAGACAACAGAGGGGCGAAAAUCGUAUACAGGCAAAAACCAAAAGGCAGACCCCGAAUGCGAUGGAUAGAUGACGUGGAAGCAGAUCUGAAGCAGCUUGGGGUUAGGGCGUGGAGACGAAAGGCCCAGGAGAGAUCUGAAUGGAAGGAUGUGCUAAAGCAGGCCAGAGCCCUCCAUGGGCUGUAGCGCCACUGGGAUGGAUGGAUGGAUGGAAUAUUACCGCUGCUGUAUCUAAUAUUGCUGCUUUAAGUUGUUGUUGUAGAUUUAUUAUUAUUUUGUUUCUGUAGUGUUGACUUAGUCGGCUUAGGCUUAGUCUCUUCUUAGUGACUAGUAAGGUACUAAGGACAAGGUGUUCUUGUUUGAGUGUUAGUGUUAUGGGUUGGUUGUGGUAGUAGAAUAUUGUAGAUCUAGACUAGUUUAUUGUAGUGUGUUUGUGUAGAUCUAGGUCUAGUGUAGUAGUUGUAGUGAUUUAGUUAGAUAGUUGGUUUGAUCAGUUUGUGUUAGAUAGUUGGUUUGGUUAGUUUGCGGUGUUUGGUAGUGGCGUAGAUUUAGAGGGUUUUAGUUAGUUGCUGGGUUCAGUUGUAGUGGUUAGUGCAUAUAUUAUAUUUUAUUAUCGAUUUAAUUUUUUGUAUAUGUAAAUAAAGUUUCAUUUUGUCAUUUAA